CCCCAGUAGUUUGAUUACGUUCCCUUUUUGGCACAGUUUUGGGUUAUUUUUCUUGGAGUUGUCUUUUAGAAAUGUUUCAUUGUUUUAUGUGUGUACUGUCCUAUUUCUGUAAAGAUUGUAUGACUAUGGGUUUUCUAGCUCUUAAGCAUAUAUUAUCAGUUCUGCCUCCUGUGUGUAAAUGUAGAAGGGAAGAGGACAACCUGUCUCCCAGAGUUAUCCUUCCCUUCCUGUGAUUUAGACUUGGCAGGUUUUAUUGCAUUUUGAAGCUAAUGUCUGAUGGUCUAUUGACCAUAGUGUUGUAUCUUUUGUUUUGAUUCUUU